GACGAACGCUGGCGGCGUGCCUAAUACAUGCAAGUCUAGCGAACAGACGAGGAGCUUGCUCCUCUGACGUUAGCGGCGGACGGGUGAGUAACACGUGGAUAACCUACCUAUAAGACUGGGAUAACUUCGGGAAACCGGAGCUAAUACCGGAUAAUAUAUUGAACCGCAUGGUUCAAUAGUGAAAGACGGUUUUGCUGUCACUUAUAGAUGGAUCCGCGCCGCAUUAGCUAGUUGGUAAGGUAACGGCUUACCAAGGCAACGAUGCGUAGCCGACCUGAGAGGGUGAUCGGCCACACUGGAACUGAGACACGGUCCAGACUCCUACGGGAGGCAGCAGUAGGGAAUCUUCCGCAAUGGGCGAAAGCUUGACGGAGCAACGCCGCGUGAGUGAUGAAGGUCUUCGGAUCGUAAAACUCUGUUAUUAGGGAAGAACAAAUGUGUAAGUAACUAUGCACGUCUUGACGGUACCUAAUCAGAAAGCCACGGCUAACUACGUG
rnacentral:rRNA from 1 species